UAAGAACAUAACUAUUACUACUCAAGUCUUAUAAACUACGAUUAGAUACCCUAUUAUUCUAAUUGUUAAUUUAUAAGACUUGAGUAGUAAUAGUUAUGUUCUUAAAACUCAAAGAAUUUGGCGGUGUUUUAGUCUUAUCAGAGGAAUUUGCCCCGUAAUCGAUAACCCACGUUUUACUUUGCUUAAUUUGGUCAACAGCUUGUAUACCGCCGUCAGCAGGAUAUAUUUAGAAAUUAUAUUCGAGAAUUAUUAAUAUAAAAUAUGUCAGGUCAAGGUGCAGUUUAUAAUUAAGAGGAGGUGAAUUACAAUAUAAACAUAUAUUACGGAUUUGGUAUUGAAAGAUAUCUUUAAAGGUGGAUUUGGGUGUAAUAAAGUCAAGAUAAAUUUUAUGAUAUAAAGCUCUAAAACAUGCACACAUCGCCCGU
rnacentral:rRNA from 1 species